rnacentral:lncRNA from 1 species
ACUUUUUUGUGUUCAUUGAAUUGAAUUUGUGUUACUGAAUUAUUGUGUUUAUUUAAGUUCUACCUCUUCCUAUAAGGAGAAAGAGAAAAAGAAAUGAAUAUUGUGAGCUCCAAUUCAGUGCCUACAUCCUGCUGAACACUUUGCACAUCGCAUUUAAUUGUAACAACCACCUACCAACUUAUUAUUGGCCACACUCUAUAGUGAGAGCAUUACGCAAUGGCACAGGGGUUAUGAUGGGGAUCUCCUGAAGAGCCAAAGCGACUGAAAUGUCCCUUUGGAGCUGCAAUUAUCAAGGUAGGAUGACAAAGACCAAGUCCAAGAAACAGGAAUUGCUGGAUGAGUGGCAACAUCUUUGAUACUUUCAAUGUUACCACAGAAAAGAAAUCCUGAAAUACUAUGUAUUUCUAAACUCCAAAGAGCCAGGAAUAAGCAAACAUAAAUCUAAUGAGUAUAGGAAGGAAUAUUUAACAGGGAAAGACAGAGAGAGAGACCCCAUUCAAAAGUAGACUGUAACAAAAGCAAAAAUAGGCAAGCGGGACUAUAUCAAACUAAAAACUUCUGCUCUGCAAAAGAAACAAUCAACAAACUGAAAGAAACUACAGAAUUGGAGAAAAUAUUUUCAAACCAUACAUCUGAGAAGGCAUUGAUAUAUACAGAACUCAAACAAUUCAAUAACAAAAAAACAAAUAACCGAAUUUUUUAAAUGAGCAAAGGACUUGAAAAUAUGUUUCUGCAAGGAAGACAUACAAAUGGACAACAGAUAUAUGAAUAGAUGCUCAAUAUCACAAAUCAUCAGGGAAGUACAAAUCAAAACCACAAUGUGGUAUCCUCUUACAUCUGUUAAGAUGACUAUUAUUCAAAUGAAGUAAAAUAAAAGAAAAAAGAAAACAAAGUAACAACUGCUGGCGAGGAUGUGGAAAAAUUGGAAUCCUUGUACAUUGUUGGUGGGAAUGCAAAAUGGAAAAGAGUAUAGAUGUUUCUCACAAAAUUAAAAAUGGAAUUACCAUAUGAUCCAGCAAUCCCACUUUUGAAUAUUCAUCCAAAAGAAUUGAAACGAAGAUCUUGAAGAGAUACAUGCAUUCUUAUGUUCAUUGCAACAUUAUUCACAAUAGACAAAAUAUGGAAACAACCUAAGUGUCAACAGAUAAAUGAACAAAGAAAAUUUGGUAUAUACAUACAAUGGAAUAUUAUUCAGCCGUAAAAAAGAAAUGCUGCUAUAUAAGACAGCAUGGAUUAACCUUGAGAACAUUAUGCUAAGUGAAAUAAGCCAAUCACAGAAGUACAUAUACUGCAUGAUUCCACUUGUGUUUAUAGAUAACAAUACCAUACUGUAUACUUUGAAUUUUGUUAAGAAGGUAGAUCUCAAAAAAA